rnacentral:rRNA from 1 species
CCUACGGGUGGCAGCAGUGGGGAAUAUUGAACAAUGGGGGGAACCCUGAUCCAGCCAUGCCGCGUGUGUGAAGAAGGCCCUCGGGUUGUAAAGCACUUUCAGUGAGGAAGAACGCCUGGUGGUUAAUACCCAUCAGGAAAGACAUCACUCACAGAAGAAGCACCGGCUAACUCCGUGCCAGCAGCCGCGGUAAUACGGAGGGUGCGAGCGUUAAUCGGAAUUACUGGGCGUAAAGCGCGCGUAGGUGGCUUGAUAAGCCGGUUGUGAAAGCCCCGGGCUCAACCUGGGAACGGCAUCCGGAACUGUCAAGCUAGAGUGCAGGAGAGGAAGGUAGAAUUCCCGGUGUAGCGGUGAAAUGCGUAGAGAUCGGGAGGAAUAACAGUGGCGAAGGCGGCCUUCUGGACUGACACUGACACUGAGGUGCGAAAGCGUGGGUAGCAAACAGGAUUAGAUACCCCUGUAGUC